rnacentral:rRNA from 1 species
AUUGAACGCUGGCGGCAGGCCUAACACAUGCAAGUCGAGCGGAUGAAGGGAGCUUGCUCCUGGAUUCAGCGGCGGACGGGUGAGUAAUGCCUAGGAAUCUGCCUGGUAGUGGGGGAUAACGUCCGGAAACGGGCGCUAAUACCGCAUACGUCCUGAGGGAGAAAGUGGGGGAUCUUCGGACUUCACGCUAUCAGAUGAGCCUAGGUCGGAUUAGCUAGUUGGUGGGGUAAAGGCCUACCAAGGCGACGAUCCGUAACUGGACUGAGAGGAUGAUCAGUCACACUAGAACUGAGACACGGUCCAGACUCCUACGGGAGGCAGCAGUGGGGAAUAUUGGACAAUGGGCGAAAGCCUGAUCCAGCCAUGCCGCGUGUGUGAAGAAGGUCUUCGGAUUGUAAAGCACUUUAAGUUGGGAGGAAGGGCAGUAAGUUAAUACCUUGCUGUUUUGACGUUACCAACAGAAUAAGCACCGGCUAACUUCGUG